GUCUGACCCGUUCAUUGACGGAACAUUUCCCGCACAGUGUGCGGAAGAAUUCUGUACUUCCACAGAGGCCCUAUCUUGAGUCAGUUGAUCCGUGUCUCCAUUUCGUUCGAGGUAUUUACAAUUGAUAGGAAGACUAAUAUAAGCCACUUGAAACAUCUCUUCAUAUUUCAUGUCAAAUUUCCUUAUCAGAUUCCAGAAUUGAUGUCCGGAUCCCAAUGGAGAGAUGGAUUGACGGAGAUGAAAACGCCAAUCAGAUGCUUGCUAGGGUUUCCAUGGCCCGACCUUUUCUGCUUCCUCCCCCACUUCACAGGGUUCCUCUUCGCGUCGGCAAUGUCGUUGAGCUCAUUGGUCCCUCACCUUCUGCCAAAACCCACAUUCUCACUCAGACUGCUAUCAAUUGCAUUCUUCCUAAAAGGUGGAAUGACGUAGAAUAUGGCGGGUUGGAUCGCUUGGUUGUUUUCGUUGACCUAGACUGUCGUUUUGAUAUCAUGCGUCUUUCGGAAAUGCUGAAUUAUCGGAUUAUGGAAUUUGAGGGGGCAGUUGAUGGAGAUCACAAUAAGUCAUUACAUGAUUUGUGUAUGAGCCGUUUCCUCUAUAUCCACUGCUACAAUAGUUUUGAAUUCCUUCAAACUCUCAAGACUUUACAUUAUCGCUUACAAAAGGAGGAAGAAGCUCAUGGGGUUAGUUCACUCAUGCUUAUGAUUGACAGUAUUGGAGCUUUUCACUGGGUAGAUCGUGCCACGACAUUCUUGCCUCGAAGAGAUAGUAGCAGGAAAAACCUUUCUCCUCAGACUUUGUCAGAAGCAGUAGUUCGUGAGAUAAAAAUAGUUAUUCAGAUGCAUCCCAUGCUUAUUAUAGCUACAAAGUCGGCCAUUUUUAUGGAUAGACUUUCCUCUGCUUCAAAUUUGGCGAAGUGGAACUUCAUAAAAGAUAAUCGGCAAGCUGAAAGAGUUUGCAGGAGUGUGACAAGAAAUGAUCAACCCAUUCAGUAUCGUGAGUAUAUGCCUUCUGUCUGGCAGGCCUUUGUUACACACCGAAUGCUCCUUCGUGCUUCGGAUGAUUAUCGUGUUGUGAGCAAUCACGAAAACUGCUCGUGCUAUGCAUUGGAAUGGUUGUUGCCGAGAUUGAAUUCUUUGGAGAGAUUCGUCGUGAAAGAUGCAGGAAUAUUUGUUGAUUGACGCAUCCUUACAAGGAUGUGAUGCAGCAUUUCUUUGCAAUUGCCAUCGAGCAUGUGGAGGAACGAGAUCGACGAUGUCGCAGCCAAGUUGGCUGAUUCUGAUCGUGGUGGAAGGCAUGGUGGUGGGUGAAGUAUGUGUUUGUGUUGGAGAACAAUGCCGAUGCCAUUGUGGUGCCACCGAUCGCCGUCUUUGUCACCGUUCGCAGGUUCAGCAAGCAAGCUAGCUCUAACAAUGGAGGUUGAGUGAUGGAGAUGGGGGAGGGACCCUUUUUCAAAAUG